UACGUAGGGUGCGAGCGUUAAUCGGAAUUACUGGGCGUAAAGCGUGCGUAGGCGGUUCCUCAAGUCCGUUGUGAAAGCCCCGGGCUCAACCUGGGAAUGGCAGUGGAAACUAGGGGACUGGAAUCUGGCAGAGGGGGGUGGAAUGCCGCGUGUAGCAGUGAAAUGCGUAGAGAUGCGGCGGAACACCGAUGGCGAAGGCAGCCCCCUGGGCUGAGAUUGACGCUCAUGCACGAAAGCGUGGGGAGCAAACAGG
rnacentral:rRNA from 1 species